UAUGGGGAUGUGCCAAGAGUGGCCUAUGGCAUUCAGAGUGGUGGCCCAGAUGGGAGGCAGCGUGCUGGGGAGCCUAUCUGAACACCACCAUCUGGAAUGCCUCUGUUGCCCUGAAGGCACUUGUCUCCACUGGACACAGCUUAAAUGCCAAAAACCAAGCCAAGUUCACUGGAUGUACAAACAGCCUGACGUCAGUGGAAUUUGCUCAUAAUUUAGGCCUCAUGUGUGAUGUACUGUCUGAACUAAACGAUCCGUCAAAACAAUCAGGGAGGAAGAGGAGAAGGAAGAAGAAAAGCAGAGGAAGAGAAGAAGGAAGAAGAGAGGUCUUGGAUUACACAGUGUUGUUUGUUCCAACUGAUUCAGAUGUUACUAACAUUAUUUGAAGAAGAGUCCUCAUUCAUUUACUGUUGCCAGUCUAUGGAUCAGAUGCCCUGAACAAAUGCCAGAGACUUACAUCUUGAACUACGUCUUCUCUGUCUGUGGCUUUAGCAUGACACAUUUACAAAGAAUGAAAGCCUGGAUGUUACUGUCACGAAACCAAGAAUUUCAAACUUGAAGCCAUUGAUGACUGUGUUCCUUCACUUUUCAGCAAACAUUUAUUGAGCACCAACUAGACACUGGGAACUUGCGGAUGAAUAUGGCAGUUCUUUCUGAAAGCUCUCAAAGCAUUGGAGAAAGAUUGGACGUAACAGAGGUCAACAAUUCCCAUGAAUAAAUUGACUUGAAAUCACAACAGGGUAAGGUGCCAGUCAUGAAAAAAAGUAGGGAAGUCUUGUUAACGAAGAGCAGGGAAAUUACUCUUGAGGUGUCAGUAGGAAUUUCCAGGCAGAGAAGAAAGAAGAGCAUUGCAAGCAGAUGAAACAGAACGUUCAAGUCUAGAAAAGCAAUAAAGCACAUGACUUGUUUGGGAAACAGCAACAGUUUUGGUGUGGCCAGAGGAGACAGUCUUUGAGAGACAGUGGUGAAAGAUGAGUCUAAAAAAGUGGGUAUAGGCCAGUUUACAGAGUCUUUGUGGGCUCUGUUAAGGAAUCUGAAAUUCACCUGGUACUCAAAGGGAGCCAGUGAAAAACCUCAAGCAGAGAGUGACUUGACUACAUUUGUAUUUCAGCCAUGUCACAUGGGCAACAGUGUCACUCUUGGGCAGUAAUUGUGUCCUUCCUUCCAAACAUGAUUUUUGGACUUGAUGAUCUUCAGACUGAUGCAACUUUGAAUUUCCAUGAUCACUAGUGUUAGAUUUUUCUCUUUCUUUUUUCAACAUACAACCAAUAUACCCUGAGGCUCCCCCUUACCCAUCAGCCUGAGUUACAGCAUUUCCUAAGAGAAGUAAUCUUCAACCAUGUGUGGUCAUGUGCGUUUUGGGAAGGGGGUAUAUCAUCUUCACUUGGAGUACAUUUUCAAAAUACCAUGCCUUUGUGAUACACUUCCCUCUUGCCCUGAAAUUCUAAUAGACCUCAGGUUUGGGAGAAUAGGUAGGAGUGGUGGGAUAGCAGCAUUUGGGGAAGUUUAUUCUUUUAAAGAAUGGGGAUUUGGCCAUGGGAGCAUUAAUCAAGAUAAUAUCCCUCUCAAAUCCAUGGUUAUUAAAAUACUAUAAAAUCCGCAUUUAUAGUUUGAUAAUGAUAUUCUAUUUGGGGUUGAAUGGUGGCUCCCCAAAAGAUAUGUCCAUGUCCUCAUACCUUGUCCCUGUGAAUGUUACCUUAUUUGGAAAAAUGGGGGGUGUCUUUGAAGCUGUAAUUAAGUUAAGCAUCUUUAGAUGAGAUCAUCUUGCAUUAUCCAGGUGGGCUGUAAAUCCAGCGAAGAGGGUCCUUAUAAGAGAGUGAAAAUAAGAUAGGAACAUGGAGGUAGGAGCAUGUGAAGACAGAGGAAGAGAUUGGAGUUAUGCAGCCACAAGGCAAAGAAUGUCUGGAGUGACCAGAAACUGGGGCAGUUAAAGAAGGGUUCUCCCCUAGAGCCUUCAGAAGGAGCGUGGUCCUGCAGACACCUUGAUUUCAGACUUUUGGCCUACAAAAUGAUGAGAAAAUAGAUUUAUUGUUUUAAGACAGCAGAUUUGUAGUGAAAUUUUAUGGUAUCCUUAGAAAACUUCUAUACCCUCUUUCUAAUAGGUUAUGCUUAAUAGUCACUUUUCCGAGAGGAAACAAUUUUCAAAAGUGCUGUAUAAUUGUAUAAUGUAAAUGAAUUUGGGCAAGGUAACUUAGUCUCUCUGAGCCAGUUUUCUUACCUAAAAACAUGGAAGUAAUAAUGCCAUCUUCACAAAGUGUUUAGACUCUUAAGUGAGAUAAGAUAAAGUUACCCAGCAGACAACUGGCAAAAAGGGAAAAAAGCAGGUGCUCAAAUAUGUAUUCAGGUAAGAACAGGCCCCAGCAUACACCGCACAGAUGCUCUGAUGAAACAACACUUCCCAGGAGAGAGCAGGGAUGGUUAACAUGCAAAAUCUGGGCCUGUAUAAGAGUCUUUUUUGCAUGUAACCACUUACACAGAUCUGGCGUCAGCUCUUGUUCUCACUAACUAACCACUGCCCUCUCCCCCAACCUUCUCAACUUCCUGUUUACGUAGAUUGCUGCUUCCUGGCUAAGGGAACUGAAAGGUUUCAGCCAGACUGCUUUUCCUCUGGACCUAUGCCAAGAAUACUUUCUUCGCCCUCCUUCUCUCUUGCUUUCUUGUUUUAUACGCUUUCAGGCUAAUGAGGAGCAAACUGCUGCCCUGUGCCAUCCCCAGCUAAGUAGCUGGUCUUCUCCUUGGCUAUUGGAUCAAAUCAGAUGGACGUGAGAAAAAAAACCACAUCAAAUAUUAUGUAGUCAUUAAGAAAUCUGUCUGUCCCUGCUCACCACAGCUCCUCCAAGAUAUUGAUACUGAUGCCUUUUUUUUUUUGGAUUCAGCUGUACUGGUGAUGAUACCUCUACUCUCAGGCCAUGCACUAGUCUGUUGUGUGAAGCAGUUCUGACCAGGGCUGGCAGGACAACAGUAGGUUGAACUCAACCAGAAUGCCAGGUUGGGAGGUUGUUGAAAUUAUCUAAUUUGUGGUUCUCAAUAUGAGGCCAAUGUCCAAGUCAUCUGAGAAGCUCUUUCAAAAUAAAAGAACAAACAAGCAAACAUUUGGAACUGGAGGAUAGGCAUAGGUAUUUGGGGAAAAAAAAUCUCCAGGUGAUAAGGAUUUUCCCCACUACUCUGGGCUUAUUGUCCUUAGCGCAGUUAAUAAGAAUGUGUGCUCUGGCCCUGGCUGGUGUAGCUCAGUGGAUUGAGCACAGGCCUGUUCAAUCCCAGUCAGGGCACAUGCCUGGGCUACGGGCCAGGUCCCCAGUAGGGGGUGCAUGGGAAGCAACCACACACUGAUGUUUCUCUCCCUCUCUUUCUCCUUCCCUUCCCCUCUCUCUAAAAAUAAAUAAAAAUCUAAGAAAAAGAAUGUGUACUCUGAAGCCUGACUGGAUUCAAAUUCUGGGUCUGUCAUCUAUGAGCUGUGUGACAUUGCCCUCAUUACUUCAUCUCUCAGUGCCUCAGCUUCCUCAUCUGUAAAACAGUAAUAAUAAUACCUUCCUUUGUCACAGAAUUGUUGUGAGGAACAAAUGACUUCACAUGUGAGUGCACUUAGAAUAUAUAUAUAUUUGCUAUUAUUAGCCCUGUGAGCCCCUGAAAUGAGGUCAGAGCCAUCAACGCUCCUGCACAAUCACUGAGGAAUUUUGUUGCUUUGCACAGCUCCAGGCCCCACCGUCAUCUGCUGAGUUAGAGUCUCUGCAAUUGAGUCCAGGAUGUGUUGCAGAGAUCCUCAGGAGUGACAAAUACACAGCCCAAUUUAGGAACUGCUGCACGAUACAAGGGGGCUGAAGAAAGAAGACAUCCAGGUCUUCAGAUGAACCAGCCACCUGCCCUGUAUCCGCCACUGGUGCUGAUACUCCCCUCGACGAAGAUGUGUGCAGUCAGCAGGAAGGGGUUUGCUUUCUCCCUUUCCAUUACUUCUGCUGGUGCUGCCAAUUUGCCCAUGUUCCCCAGUCACAACUACCAGUGUAGCUCUAUUCAAUUAUGCCACAGCCCUCUCUAACCCCAAAAUGGAAUGAAAUUGCCCCUCUAAAGAGUGAAAGCUUUUUCAAAAACCUUGGAUAAUCUGGCUUCUAAAUAAGUACAUUUGGAUUCAAACAGAUGGCCAUGAAGCUGUUUUAAUUAAGAGGUUUGGGUGGAACUCACUCUGCGACACCACCUACCUCAGCCUCCCUCACCUGCCUGACUUGUGCCCACAGAAAAAUGCCUAUAUUGUUCCACUGCCCACCACCACCCCACCCUCACCUCAAGUUAGUGCUCUGCUUUUCCAGCACUAGACAUCUCCCCUCCUCUUAGGAUUAGGGACUACUUCAUCAUCCCCUCUCUGUUCAAGGGUAUCAACCAUUUUUCUAGGGUCCCCAUCAUUAGUUCCCAUGGUUCUUUUUACCAUUUCUCCUAGAAGGCCAACAAGCCUUCAUGCAAAUCAGACCUCUGGUGGCUGCUGUGAUAUCCCAGAACUCUGAAGAUGAUAUGCAGUUGAGUCUCACCAUGACUCUUGUGGCUCAUGAAUUUUAUUUUUGAAUGAGAUAAUGGAUGGGGCAAGUUGGAGACUGUAUAUACAUAACCAGACAUUACCAGGGAGCUUUGUCAAAGGCUCUUGCCAGGCACAGAAGGUCAAAAAUUAUCACCUUCAUGGUCUGAAAGUGAAUACUAAGAAAGAAGGAGAAAAGCACAUGGGAUUUGGCAAAAAUCAGGUUCAAAUCCUGACUCCUUGAUCUACUAGGUAGGUAACCUUGGCAAAUGAUUUACUCUGGCUAAGCCACAGUUUUCUCAAUUUGCAAAAUCGGUAUAAUAUAAAAAUAUGUAGGGUAUAUCAAUUUGCAUUAGCAUUGGCUAUGAGAAAAAGAAACACAGUGUAAGUGAUUUAAACAAUACAGUUUAUUUUUCUCUCACAUCAAAGUCCUGAGGUGGAAAACCCAGAGCUGUUCCACAGUGUUCUCAGAGACUCAGGCUCACCUCACUGCUCUUCAUCCCUCCAGCGUGGCCCUCACCUUCAUGGUCCAAGAAUGUGACUAAAGUGACAAACAUCACUUCUGUGUUCCUGCAAGCAGGAUGGAGGAAGAAAUAAGAAGAGACAGGGCAUGUACCAUUUGUCUUUAGAAGAAAAUUGCCAGAAACUGCCAUACAAACACUUCUGCAUGUAUCACAUUGUCAAAACUUAGUCAUAUGGCCACACCUAGCUGCAAGGGAGGCAGGGAAAUUCCAGGCAGCCUUGUGCAAAGCUAAAAAUUGAGAACCAUGUUACAAUGGAAGACAGGUAAGUUGAAUUUUGGGGACAUUCUGAAACUCUGUUACAUAAAUUAUUUAUUUUAAAGAUUGAAGUGGCCCAUCAGUAAAUGUUGGCUAUUUUUAAUAUUCUUCCUUGAGGAAUUACUAAGGAGUACAGCAAAAUCAGGAAUAAGAGUAUCCCCCAAUGAAGAGAAGAUGUGGCUUUCAUUUCACCCUUUUUCAUUGCUAAGAUAGUAACUUAGUCAUACAUUGUAGCUUAGGGGCUGACUUAAAUUUUUCAAAACUAUUAUCUGCUUUACAAAUUUAAAUAUGUGAUACUUUAAUGGAACUCUGCUUGUUUUGUGAGUUUAUUUACUCAGUAUGAGUAAUCAGUGACAUGACAAGGCAGAAUCUUGGAAGGGAGUUUUCAAGGUAGUUUUCUCAAAUGGUCUGUGUAUGUCCUCAGAUCCCAUUCACCAUCACUGUGAAGGAUUCCUUUUCUGUAGCAAUUUCUGUCAAGAUGAAUCUGAUUCAACAUGAAUCUCCAACAUGAAUCUGAUUUCCCUCUACCAUCAGCUAACAUCCUGUCCCAGUGCAGACUAGUAUCUGAAGAAUCUUGCUUCUUCUCUAUUUUAAGAAUUCUUGUAACACCUGCUAACCAAAAUGAUCUCUUUCAUUCUAAGAGAGCACCAUCCCUCCCAAAGCCCCUGAUGCACAUUAAGUAAAAACUAAAGCAUUGGAAAAAUUGACCAAUUUGUUUGUGGUGAGAUUCUAGUCUAAUGGCCUUCAAAAACUUGUUUAACAGAACAAUACCCCAUCAUUUUUUCUAUUGAAAUGUUACGACACAUCCCAGUGCUGGUCUGACUGAAGAUGGGAAGGGCCCAAAGCCCAGCCCACUGGCUUGCUUUUUACUAAGCACCUUCACUGAAGAGUUCCUGGGUACCUCCAUGAAUCUCCAGGGCUCAUAUCACUAUACUCAAUUUGAACAUCCUUAUUCUGUUUCAUUUUCUGUUUUAAAAGCUGGCCAGGUGAAGGGGAAAGACAGGCCAUGUGUCAAAUAUUGAGAUCUUA